rnacentral:lncRNA from 1 species
CCUCUCUCACACUCAUUCAUGGAAAGACCCAGAGGUCUGCAGAUGUGGGCUUCUCCUGGCAGAUCUCAGUUUGGAAUCUCAUUUACCAUCCUAAGGACUGGAUUUCUCGCGCGCUGAGGAACUGUGGCGAUUCCCACCUAGCGGCACCUUCUGAGCCCAGAGCUCGCCAGCCAGCCUGUCUGCGGCAGAGAGUGGAAGGCUGGGUGGGCAGAGCAAAGCCCGGGCGAGGAGAGCAGCCGUUCUGCCCCCUCCCUCCCAUCUCCAGGGUCCAGUUCUCGGAAAUGUUAACACAAUAACACAAGUGCAAUAAAUGUGCUGUGUGCAGACAGAGAUAUUUACACCCUUCUGUUUGACAUCAUCUUUCACUGAUGAAAAGCAUACUACGCACGCUCAGAACCUAGCGAAACAGAAGUGGACUCUGGGGAAAUGCAGCAUGAGUUAGCGGUCGCCGUCUUUGGAAAGCAACUUGCUAAGGGUCCGGAUGCUCAGACAGCGCAGCCCAGCGGUUCCCGGCCCCAGGUGCAGGCGCUGGAGAUGUCUGUCCCCGAGCUCCCUCAGCAUUGUUUGUAACGCCUUUGUGAAGUACAAAUGUCCCCGCAAGAGAACGGGCACGUGAUCUGUGGUACAGUCAACCAACGCCAUCCUCAGGAGUCAUGUUCAGCAGGGAAAUGAGUGAAACACAACUCUGCGUUACGCAUCCGUGUUGAUGACUCAUACAGAAACCACCAGGUUUAAAAUGGGAAAGAUGCC